AUUGAACGCUGGCGGCAGGCUUAACACAUGCAAGUCGAGCGGAGAUGAGGUGCUUGCACCUUAUCUUAGCGGCGGACGGGUGAGUAAUGCUUAGGAAUCUGCCUAUUAGUGGGGGACAACAUUCCGAAAGGAAUGCUAAUACCGCAUACGCCCUACGGGGGCAAGCAGGGGAUCUUCGGACCUUGCGCUAAUAGAUGAGCCGAAGUCGGAUUAGCUAGUUGGUGGGGUAAAGGCCUACCAAGGCGACGAUCUGUAGCGGGUCUGAGAGGAUGAGCCGCCACACUGGGACGGAGACACGGCCCAGACUCCUACGGGAGGCAGCAGUGGGGAAUAUUGGACAAUGGGCGGAAGCCUGAUCCAGCCAUGCCGCGUGUGUGAAGAAGGCCUUUUGGUUGUAAAGCACUUUAAGCGAGGAGGAGGCUACCUGGAUUAAUACUCUAGGAUAGUGGACGUUACUCGCAGAAUAAGCACCGGCUAACUCUGUGCCAGCAGCCGCCGUAACAC
rnacentral:rRNA from 1 species